rnacentral:rRNA from 1 species
UACGGAGGGAGCUAGCGUUGUUCGGAAUUACUGGGCGUAAAGCGCGCGUAGGCGGCUUUGUAAGUUAGAGGUGAAAGCCCGGAGCUCAACUCCGGAACUGCCUUUAAGACUGCAUCGCUUGAAUCCGGGAGAGGUGAGUGGAAUUCCGAGUGUAGAGGUGAAAUCGUAGAUAUUCGGAAGAACACCAGUGGCGAAGGCGGCUCACUGGACCGGCAUUGACGCUGAGGUGCGAAAGCGUGGGGAGCAAA